rnacentral:rRNA from 1 species
GACCCGAGAUGCUAGGUGUUAGGGGUUUCGAUACCCUUGGUGCCGAAGUUAACACAUUAAGCAUUCCGCCUGGGGAGUACGGUCGCAAGACUGAAACUCAAAGGAAUUGACGGGGACCCGCACAAGCAGUGGAGUAUGUGGUUUAAUUCGAAGCAACGCGAAGAACCUUACCAGGUCUUGACAUCCCUCUGACCGUCCUAGAGAUAGGGCUUCCCUUCGGGGCAGAGGUGACAGGUGGUGCAUGGUUGUCGUCAGCUCGUGUCGUGAGAUGUUGGGUUAAGUCCCGCAACGAGCGCAACCCUUAACUUUAGUUGCCAGCAUUGAGUUGGGCACUCUAGAGUGACUGCCGGUGACAAACCGGAGGAAGGUGGGGAUGACGUCAAAUCAUCAUGCCCCUUAUGACCUGGGCUACACACGUACUACAAUGGUUGGUACAACGGGAUCCGAGGCGGGGAGGUGGACCGAAUCCUAAAAAGCCAUUCUCAUUUCGGAUUCCGGGCUGGAACUCGCCUGGGUGAAGACGGAAUUGAAAAAUAAUCGCGGGAUCUGGCGGGGGCUCGGGUGAAAAACUUUUUGUAGAGUUU